GAUGAAGAACGUAGCGAAAUGCGAUAAGUAAUGUGAAUUGCAGAAUUCAGUGAAUCAUCGAAUCUUUGAACGCACAUUGCGCCCGCCAGCACUCUGGCGGGCAUGCCUGUUCGAGCGCCAUUUCAACCAUCAAGCCCCCAGGGGCUUGUGCUGGGGCCCUGCGGCUGCCCGCAGGCCCUGAAAACCAGUGGCGGGCUCGCUAGUCACACCGAGCGCAGUAGCACAUCUCGCUCAGGGCGUGCGGCGGGCUCCUGCCGUGAAACCCCCCACUGUAACCCCAAAGGUUGACCUCGGAUCAGGUAGGAAUACCCGCUGAACUUAAGCAUAUCAAUAAGCGGAGGA
rnacentral:misc_RNA from 1 species